AGCCCCGCAUGUUUUCGAUUCUUUCCAGAUGUUCCCAAUGGAAAAAAAUAAUUCUCUGAAAAGGUGUCGGAUAUUCAGCUCACAGAAGAAACAGCACUAGGAAAAGAAUGUCGCCUAAGGAAAAAAGCAUCAAAACAAGACAUGGAGGACUGGAGAGGAAGAAGCGAUUCGUGCAGUUGGUUGGAGAACACCAGAUCUAACGGGUUCCUGAGGCUGAGACACUGAGUGGGAAUGAGACCAUGGGUAUGACGAUAAGAAACAGAGAAAGGGGAAAAGCGAAGCUCAGAGAAGGAAGCCAGAGGGACGACCAGGCGAAGUUGGACAUGCCAAAGAUGGAGUAGAUGAACAUCACCAGGAAGAGCAGGAGGCCGAUGUUGAAGAGGGCAGGUAGUGACAUCAUGAGGGCGAACAACAGCGUCCGGA